rnacentral:rRNA from 1 species
CCUGUAGACCAGUAUAACCUCGGGAAACUGAGGCUAAUGCUGGAUACGACUCUCAGACUGGAGUGUCGAGAGCCAGAAAUGCGUUAGCGCUACAGGAUGCGGCUGCGGCCGAUUAGGUAGACGGUGGGGUAACGGCCCACCGUGCCGAUAAUCGGUACGGGUUGUGAGAGCAAGAGCCCGGAGACGGAAUCUGAGACAAGAUUCCGGGCCCUACGGGGCGCAGCAGGCGCGAAAACUUUACACUGCACGACAGUGCGAUAAGGGGACUCCGAGUGCGAGGGCAUAUAGUCCUCGCUUUUCUGAACCGUAAGGUGGUUCAGGAAUAAGGACUGGGCAAGACCGGUGCCAGCCGCCGCGGUAAUACCGGCAGUCCAAGUGAUGGCCGCUAUUAUUGGGCCUAAAGCGUCCGUAGCU